rnacentral:misc_RNA from 1 species
UUUCCGUAGGUGAACCUGCGGAAGGAUCAUUCAUAAUAAAGUGUUUUAUGGCACUUUUUAAAAAUCCAUAUCCACCUUGUGUGCAAUGUUAGAUCUCGUCAAUCUUGGCGAGAUUUUUAUACAUCAACUCAUUCUUUAACUAAUUUGUCUGAAAAAUAUUAUGAAUACCUAAUUCAAAAUACAACUUUCAACAACGGAUCUCUUGGCUCUCGCAUCGAUUAGGUAC